rnacentral:tRNA from 1 species
CAGAAGUGACUUGUUUGGUCUCUGAUUCUUGCACUCAGGCACAAGACAACCUGACAUUUCAGGAGAUGGUCUGUCAGAAUUGGAUCUCUGAGUGGGGUGGCUCUUGAUAGGGAUCCCUGUUAACUGUGACUAGAAUCCUGAGAAGAGAAAAACCUUCCUGAAAUGGGCAUAUCCCUGGCUGGCCUGGAACCAACCUUUCGGACUUAGGACUAUGGGAAGAAUAGGGGGAGAUUCUCUAGUGAUGAUAAUACAUGAAUGCUUUAAAAGCUAGAACAGGCGUCCCUGGGUGGUCUUGAACUACUCACCGUUCGGUUAAUAGCCGAACGCUCUGACCGAUUGCGCCACAGAGACAGGUACUAGCGAUUCCACUGGGCGCUAUAGGCAGGGCGCACUCACCGAACUCCCCAAUCCCUUCCAGCCUCAGAGCCCGCCUGGCAGGACUACUGAGCAAGGCCUUGGAAAAUCGGAGCGAUUAGAGCGAAGUGCUUCGGUCAGGCAGUAUCUUUGAAAAUAAUUUGGCCAAUGAAAGCCCUGGCAUUGGAUGAAAGUGCUAGCUGCUGGGAAUGCUACCCCUCCUUUUGGUUCUCUUUCAAGUCCUUCAGGUUCAAACAAUACAGAAGUGUAUAAAGUAAGAAUUGAAAGUCUCUUCGCUGCUCUAAUCUCACUCCUCAGAGGUGAUCACUGGACCUGAGUGAGCAGAAGGCUUUUCAGAAUUACAGCCUGAACUAUUUCUUGAGCAAUUUGGGAACUCAUUUCUAAAGCAGUCCUCAGAUUCACACAACGUAGUUUGUGACGGAGUAUGCCCAGAGCAGCUGUCUUGUUGAUGGGGGUGCACCCUGACGAAUGGUGUGCUGGCAAAGAUUUAACAAAAGGCUCCAGAGGAGGGCAGACUUGAAGUGGAGCCUUCAGUGGGCAGUGUGAAGGGUGCUGAUUUCAAACAACUCAUCUGGUAUGACUGAACAUGAAGUUGGGAAGAGAUGUGCAUAAUUGAAGUGGGUGAGAGCCAGUCCAGCACCCUGCAGAGAGUGUGGAAGAUGAUCAAAGUAUGACAUUUCUUCUACCCCAGAGGCUGGCAUUUCUGCAGGCACAAAUGAGCUUGGUUUUCAAGCACUGCUCUUUGAACACAAGGAAUUCCUUUAAUGAUCACGCCGGACUAUAUAGACUUUGGAAUCAGACUCUUUGAAUUCCAGCUCUGCCAUUUACCAACUUUGACACUUUGGACAACGUCUCAUUCUGUCACCCAGGCUGGAGUGCAGUGGCACAAUUAUAGCUCACUGCAGCCUCAAACACCUGGGCUCAAGCAAUCCUUCCACCUCUGCCUCCUGAGUAAUUGGGACUACAGGGUUUUGGAAAUCUGGAUUGUAGCAGGGCAUUGUAAGUUAAAAAAUCAUCUUCCCAUUCUGUUCUUUGCAAAGAUAUUUCUGUUCCUUAAAUUUGUUGAGGGUAAGAGAUUGCAGAUUGCUUCUGUGGACUUCUUGAAGGUGGAUCUGCCUGUUGGUGGAGAACCCUAGACUGCAUGCAGCCAUGCACAUGAUCUGGAGACACAGCAGGUUGUACCAGAAGCAGGGCUGAGGAGGCCUUAGGAAACUUAAAAUCAUGGCGGAAGGCAAAGGGGAAACAGGUCAUCCUCAGCAUUUAUACUCUCUCUCCUUUUGUGCCCCCAUGGACCAAGUUAAGAAGGUGUAGGCUUCAAAUCUUAAGAUCGGUCACCACAAAAUUCAAAAAGACAAGGUCUUUGUCUGUUGCUCAGGAUGGAGUGUAGUGGUGCCAUAGCACACUGUAAUCUUGAAUUUCUGGACUACUGGCAUACACCACCAUGCUUAGGUUCGGGCCACAACAUCCGUGACUUUACCGGUUUUGGUCUCUUCCUUGUAACUUUCGGCUCCAGGAUGCUGCGCAGCUCCUCUCUGCACUAUCUAUCAGAACGUUGCUCUGCGUGCUUGAAAGUUUCGCCAAACAGAAGUACACAAAAACAAACAGAGGCGAAACACAAAUCCCCUCAGCCCUGGAGGAAAAGGCCUUGAAGCUCUUCCAGUGCAGAGGCCACGCAGAGGACAUGCUCCUACCUGUGCACAUCGGCCACGCCUGGGGUGCCUCCUGGAGUCCAGGCUGCUGGCGAUGGAAUCCAUCAUGUUGCUGAUGUCACUACUCUCAACUCCUGAUGGCAUCAGAACACAGGCAGCAUCAAGAUCAGGCUCAAGAUGCAGGAUUUUAUCAUCCAAAUCAGGCCCACAUAUGGAUGAAACCCUUCAGGUAUUCUGCACAUCUCUCAGGAAACCCAGAUGAAAUUGAGUGCCUGCUGCCCACAUCAGCAACCCAGACAUCCCACUUGAUUCUGCUUCUGGAGCCUAAGAUGGGAAAAUGGCAGGUGUCGCAGGUUGCAGGGGAAGGUCGGAGACCAGUUGAGGGCCCCGGAGUCUGUCUGGAAAGAGUUUUCCAUCCAGCCCGUCUCGGUUUCCGCAUCCGUGUGAGUCCUUUAUGACGUCGGGAAUGCCAAGGUCUGAGUCCUUUAUGAUGUUCAGGGUGCCCCGGUCUCACCCCGGGAGCCUCCUCGCUCCGGCCUGCUCCUGGCUACCCGGUGGGCGGCUCUGGCCCCAGCGACCCGCUACUGUUUCUCCAUGCGCUGCCACUUCGCAAAGGCACAUCUCUAGGUCAGUGGUCAGCUGCAGCCAGGGCGCUGCAACUCGCUCCAGGACUCGGGAAUCAGGGCCUUGGUGGGCCUCGCAGAGUGCUGGGUGUGUCGCCUGCGGGCUCCUCUUUUGGAGAAAGGAGGGAGGGAAAGGCCUUGUGAGACGACUCCAGGAGCGACCAGCGACCCCCACAAGGCCCAAGUCCUCCCAGCGCACUCAGAAACAGUCACUUAAAUGGCAAUAAGGUUGAGAAAGACUCUCCCGUGCCCCCGUGCUGGUGUAGUGGCUGUGAUUCAGUCCUUUCACCACCGCAUCCCGGGUUCGAUUACCGGUCAGGGAGUUGUUUUGCACUGACUGCCCACCCGCAGUAAUCUUUCUUUACUCCGCUGUCAGCCGGCCUGCUCCAAGAGCCAGAGGCAGAAGAGUCUCCCUGCAAGGUGCAAACCCUGGCGAAGGAGGGCAAGUCCUGGUGGACGGCCUCUCAUGACACACCCUCUUAUUUAUCUCCGUGUCCACCAUUCGCAGAAGGGGCUUUAGAGAGCGACUGAGCGUCUCGCUCAGGUGUACACCACCGUGCAGAGAUGGCAGCUCUCCUGGAGGUGUACCCAAGAAGCCCACCAUCUUUGCCGCCUCCGCCAUCCCAGAGGCGCCGAUUGGGCUGAGCUGCAAAUAACUAAGAGAGAGAGAGGCCAAGCCAAGUCGUGGCGUUUGUGUGCGGCACACGUCGUCAGCUGACACAGGCGGUCAGCUGAGCCUCCUCACCUCAGUUCGCAGCUAACAUGCUUCUUAGGCCUUCGGAAGAGGCGACAGGAGGCGAUGGCCGCGAGGUUGGGAGGGGGGUGAGCGGCGGGUGAGGUCCUCCAGGACCGCCCAUUUAUUGACUGGGUGGUACAGGAGGGCGAUGUUCGCUUACCCAACAACGACAGCAGGUGGAGUAGGCACUAAUGGAAAACUGUGGCCGGUGCCCUAAGCAGAAGGCAGGUGUAAAAAUCACUAGGACAUCAAAGGGAUAGUACCACAGUCAAAUCCCGCAAUGUCUGUCUACACUCUACCAAGCAAUUGUGCACCCUCCCCCUUUUCCAUUCAGUACUCCCAAGAAGGGUUGGGACGAACCCUGUGUCCACUGUAAAGCUCAGGGGAGAGCGGGAGCGAGGGAGGUGAAGUGCACAGACUGGGCAGAGGCGGCGGGCAGAACUGCGGGGGUGAGAGGGCGCGGUGGCUGCGGGGCGGGAGCCUCUGCUGAAAGGAGGCCUGGGUUGUCCUGUGGGUGACUGUUGGUGGAAUCUUUGGCAGCGAGUGGUUGGAAGAAUGGCGACGGGCGAGCAGAGGGGAAGGUGGUGACCCUGAGCGUCUGGCUAGGGGAGAGGAGGCUGUACUGACACUCGUCUCCUCUUACCUGGCGAGGGACAGACCGUGGUCAAGAAGGGAGCUCUCCCUGGUUGAGGCUAGUCCACCACACUCCAGCUGCUCUGACCCCUGCGAUUUCCCUACACGCGGGGCGCUUGUCUGCGGUGGUGUUUGCGCUACCCGGGGGCUGGGUUCACGCAGGCUCCUGACAGUCCUUGGCUCACCGCCCCCGACGCGGAUAUCGCCGCUAGAGACCCUUCCGCCACCCUCCUAGGGAUCUUGAGGGCCUUCCUUGUUGUUCCGACUGAAGCUCACGAACAGACAGAUGUGAGCUCUCUGUCUUUUACACGUUGAAUUUGGCUAUUGGCAAAAAAAGCCCUGACCCAGAGCUUGGGACUCCUCCCGGCCUGCACACGACUUCCCGACUCUUGCCUCCUAGCGCGGCUCUUGGCUAGCGGGCGGGCAGCCUCCACCCAGCGUAGAACCGCGGCAGCCGCAGCCCCCGCAGGCUGGCGGUCAGACACUAGCAGGAAAAGGGACACAAGGCCUGCGUGGUGGGAAAGCAUGGGAGACGUCGCUUUCCCACCAGGCGAGAAGGUCUCCCUACAGUCUUUGGACAGAAGAUGGAGGGAGGCACCCCUUCCAGGAGCAAGGCGGCUGCUCCUGAGGCCUGGCUCCGCACGGAGGCUCCUGGGUCCCGCGCGCCCUCUCCCUACCGGUUAUAGCCAGAGCUGCUUCACACAUCUCAGCCGGCUUCCUCUUCCGCCUCUGCCACCUCUUCCUCCCCAGCUCGUGGGAAAGACCUAGCCUCCUCUCCAACACUUGGAGAGGGAGUUGGAUGAACGUCUCCUAACCCCAGUAGGACAGAGAUCCUGAGGUAGGAGGGGACCCCUUGCCUUGCUGCUUCUUUUGGCACCGCUGACCCGGGCCCAGGACUCCUCGCUCCUCCUGGAAGGCCUGGGUCGUGUAGCCCACAGAGGUGGCCACGUGGGCAUCUCCCCCACUGCUCCUCAUAGAACCGGAGGCAUUAUCCUGCCGGGCCCACUCUUACCCAUGAAAGAAACUUGGGAAAUGCUCCCGGGGAAGCCGGGGAUCUGGGCGCUCGACCACUUCGGUGUGAAUCUUCCGUCCGCUCAUCCUUCCUUCGGAGGGUCUUGGGGAGAGGAGAAAUGCUCAAGGACGAUGCGCUUUGCAGCGUCUCAAGGGAAACUAGAUCUCAACGGAUACCAGAAGUCUGGAGCGUCUUCCUGGAGGAAGGCGGCCCGAGGCCUGCGGUUGCAGGGAGGCUUGCGGAGCACAGCGCCCUCUCUCAGCCUGAGCUAUCCAGUGGCUUCCAGCAUCCCAGCUGGCCGACUCCACUUCCUCUCUCUUCCUCCUACUGCGGGUCUUCUUCUUCUCUUUGGGGACCGAAUCUCGCUCUGUCGCCCAGGCUGGAGUGCAGUGGCGCGAUCUCGGCUUACUGCAACCUCCGCCUCCCGGGUUGAAGCGAUUCUCCUGCCUCAGCCUCCCGAAUAGCUGGGACUACAGGCGCGUGCCACCACGCCCGGCUAAUUUUUUGUAUUUUUAGUUGAGACGGGGUUUCACCCUGUUAGCCAGGAUGGUCUCGAUCUCCUGGCCUCUUGAUCCGCCCGCCUCGGCCUCCCAAAGUGCUGGGAUUACAGGCGUGAGCCUCCGCGCCCGGCCUACUGCGGCUCUUCUAUCCUGGUGUUCUUUGAAUGCCUAUCUUCCUUUUGUGCCACAGAACCUCUCACGCCCGCCACAGGUUGCUCAUUUCCUUGGUUGUUCUGAACUUUAAAUAAGUUAAUGUAUGUAAGAGUGCCAUAAAUGCUCAGUAAUUGACAUCUGUUAUUUUCAUCAGUAACAUCAUCUGAAUCAUCUGUAUUGUCUAUUUUUAACAACUGCAUUUUUCAUUGUCCAAAUAAAGUCACAUACAUUUGAACAUUAUAUAAUGAUUGAAUAAUAAAAUUAUUCUGCUAUUUUACAAUAAAAA